GACGAACGCUGGCGGCGUGCUUAACACAUGCAAGUCGAACGGAAAGGCCCGGCUUUUGUGGGGUGCUCGUGUGGCGAACGCGUGAGUAACACGUGUGUAACCUGCCCUUGUCUUUGGGAUAACUUCAGGAAACUGGGGCUCAUACCGGAUAGGAGCUCUUGCUGCAUAGUGUGCGUUGGAAAGUUUCGGCGGUUCGGGCUGGAAUCGCAGCUUAUCCGCUUGUUGGUGGGGUAGUGGCUUACCAAGGUUUUGACGGAUAGCCUGCCUGGGAGGGUUAACGGCCACAAUGGGACUGAGAUACGGAGCAGUCGCGUACGGGCGGCAGCAGUGGGAAGCAUUGCACAAUGGGCGGAAGCCUGAGACGACAGCGCCGCGUGCGGGAUGACCGGCUACGAGGGGUGAACAGCUUUCGCCUUUGCCGAGGAGGGAGUGACGGUAAUGGGUAAAGAAGCAACGGCUAACUACGUG
rnacentral:rRNA from 1 species